GUACCGUAGGUGAACCUGCGGAAGGAUCAUUAUUGUAUAACCGAGGUGCGAGGGCUGUCGCUGACCCGAAAGGUCGUGCACGCCCGAGUGCCCUCACACACAUCCAUCUCACCCCUAUGUGCACCACCGCGUGGGUCCCCCUUUGGCUUGUUCGGAGGGGGGCUUACGUUUUCACACAAACUUUGUAUGCAGUGUAGAAUGUAUUUUUUGUUUUUGCGAUCACGCAAUCAAUACAACUUUCAACAACGGAUCUCUUGGCUCUC
rnacentral:misc_RNA from 1 species